rnacentral:lncRNA from 1 species
AUUAAUUUGAUACCCCUAUAGUUGUUGCAGCACUGGAUGUUCCCUUUGUUCUUGUACAAGGGCACCACUGUACUCCACAUCCACUCAUCCGGCAUCCUCUUGGUCCUGAAGAUCGCAUUGAACAACAUGGAGAUCCACUUAACUCCUGACCUACCCAUGCACUUCCAGAACUCCACCGGGAUCUCUUCAGGCCCGGUCGUUCGACCCCUACUCAUCAUACACAAAGCCCCCAUGACCUCCUCCGCCCUAAUGCGCCUGCAGUACCCAAGGUCUCUAUAUU